GCGCCCGUAGCUCAGUUGGACAGAGCAACGGAUUUCUAAUCCGUAGGUCGCAGGUUCGAGUCCUGCCGGGCGUG
rnacentral:tRNA from 3 species